rnacentral:rRNA from 1 species
AGUGAACGCUGGCGGUAGGCCUAACACAUGCAAGUCGAACGGCAGCACAGGAGGGCUUGCUCUCUGGGUGGCGAGUGGCGGACGGGUGAGGAAUACAUCGGAAUCUACUCUGUCGUGGGGGAUAACGUAGGGAAACUUACGCUAAUACCGCAUACGACCUACGGGUGAAAGCAGGGGACCUUCGGGCCUUGCGCGAUUGAAUGAGCCGAUGUCGGAUUAGCUAGUUGGCGGGGUAAAGGCCCACCAAGGCGACGAUCCGUAGCUGGUCUGAGAGGAUGAUCAGCCACACUGGAACUGAGACACGGUCCAGACUCCUACGGGAGGCAGCAGUGGGGAAUAUUGGACAAUGGGCGCAAGCCUGAUCCAGCCAUACCGCGUGGGUGAAGAAGGCCUUCGGGUUGUAAAGCCCUUUUGUUGGGAAAGAAAUCCAGCUGGCUAAUACCUGGUUGGGAUGACGGUACCCAAAGAAUAAGCACCGGCUAACUUCGUGCCAGCCGCCGCGGUAACAC